UACAGAGGUCUCAACCGUUGUUCGGAUUCAUUGGGCGUAAAGGGUGCGUAGGCGGUCGCGUAAGUCAGGUGUGAAAUCUCAGGGCUCAACCCUGAAACUGCACUUGAUACUGCGUGGCUCGGGUACUGGAGAGGAGACUGGAAUUUACGGUGUAGCAGUGAAAUGCGUAGAUAUCGUAAGGAAGACCAGUGGCGAAGGCGAAUCUCUGGACAGUUACUGACACUGAGGCACGAAGGCCAGGGGAGCAAACGGG
rnacentral:rRNA from 1 species